GACGAACGCUGGCGGCGUGCCUAAUACAUGCCAGUAGAACGCUGAAGGAGGAGCUUGCUCUUCUGGAUGAGUUGCGAACGGGUGAGUAACGCGUAGGUAACCUGCCUGGUAGCGGGGGAUAACUAUUGGAAACGAUAGCUAAUACCGCAUAACAGUAGAUGUUGCAUGACAUUUGCUUAAAAGGUGCAAUUGCACCACUACCAGAUGGACCUGCGUUGUAUUAGCUAGUUGGUGGGGUAACGGCUCACCAAGGCGACGAUACAUAGCCGACCUGAGAGGGUGAUCGGCCACACUGGGACUGAGACACGGCCCAGACUCCUACGGGAGGCAGCAGGAGGGAAUCUUCGGCAAUGGACGGAAGUCUGACCGAGCAACGCCGCGGGAGUGAAGAAGGGUUUCGGAUCGUAAAGCUCUGUUGUAAGAGAAGAACGAGUGUGAGAGUGGAAAGUUCACACUGUGACGGUAUCUUACCAGAAAGGGACGGCUAACUACGUG
rnacentral:rRNA from 1 species